rnacentral:lncRNA from 1 species
GGACAUUUGCCCAAAAAGCAAAGACAAUCAAUCUACAAGUUUCAGUAACCAAAUUGAAUGAAUGGAAGUAAAUGAUCUCAGGAAAAGAUUAAACUAGUUUAAAGGUUGAACCUUUAUAAAAAAAAAAAUGGUCAAAAGGAGUAGAGUCCAAUGCCCCAGCAUAUAUUCCCACCUCUCCUCCUCCUCUGACCUCUAGACCUCUGUGCCAAUGCAUCGUCCUGUCAAAAAAGAAACAACAUAAUAUAAUAUCAAUAAUUGUCACAGGCUACACUUCCACUGCACGUCGUGGCUAGUUAUAAAAUAAAAUAAAAUACUAAUUCCUCCAUUAGCCCCCCAUUUUGUCCCAAGCAAGCAACUUCCCACCCAGUCUGUGGAAGCUGUUAUUACAGUACAGAGAUCUCAAAACCCCCAUAUUAUUACUCUAUAGUCUCUACUACUGCUUUGGAUUCCUGCAUCCAUUUUUAAAAAAUAGAAACAGAGAUGAUCCACACCACUGCGGCCCAUCUCACGCUGUCGCUGAAAAUGCUGGCCAACUUAUUCAAAGCAAACAAACAAAUUUCUUCCAUUUUCACCUUCUGGGUUCUGGCCUCUUUGUACCCUCUCUCUCAGCAACUGACUACCAGACCCACGAGAUAGUAAGUGGGUAGCUAACCGCUGCACGCCAAACUGAUUUCCCCCCACGUCAUUAUCACUCUUUCUUCUUCUUCUUCUUCUCCAUCCCCAAAAUCUCACUCCCUCUCUCAAGAGAGCUUAGCAAGUUGCUUUCAUGGCUGCUUCCGGAAUGCUGACACCUCCUUCCCGUUUCUGCCUCCUUUGGUGAGUCCCAACGCUUGGAGAGGUUUCACUUAUUUCUCCGUCGCGUCCCUUUUACUACUCUGAGACCCUUUUGCUUUCUCUUUCACUCUUUCUGUUUUCUUUUUGUCUUCUCGGUUUCCUCAUCCUCCNNNNNNNNNNNNNNNNNNNNNNNNNNNNNNNNNNNNNNNNNNNNNNNNNNNNNNNNNNNNNNNNNNNNNNNNNNNNNNNNNNNNNNNNNNNNNNNNNNNNNNNNNNNNNNNNNNNNNNNNNNNNNNNNNNNNNNCCCCCCCGCCUCCAUUUUUCUUUUUUCAGUCUCCCAUCAGUUCUAAAUCCUGCGCGUUUGUCUGUUUGUUGGGAGCCUUUCCAACGAAUCUCACCAUUUUUCUACUUGCUCAACUGUUCUACUGUUUGCAUUGAGUGUUUGAUUCUUCUUAUUCAGGGCUGUUUGAGAGAAUCCCAAGGAUCAGGUGAAAUUUGUUUGGAGAAGCCAUGUUGUGUGCUUGCUCCGGAGAGCAGUUCAAAUUCGAGGAGGCGCCGCCGUCGCCGGUUUCUCUGGCCACCAGAGAUUUUUCGGUCAGAGGACUGUCUUCCAGGACAACAGGCGACUGGGGGGUCAAACCGGGGGGAGUCCAAACUCGAGGAUAUCCAGGUGGAUGAAGCUGAAUCCACUCUUAAAGAGGCUCUCUCCUUGAAUUAUGAGGUGGAUUUCUCUACUGCCUCUCAGCAUUCCGUUAUUCUGUUUCAUCACAUUUGCGUUUUUGUCUGUUCAGCCAUUUUUAGUUUUUAAGAGUUUUGUGCGUGGUGAGUGUUUUUGCAGGAAGCAAGAGCGUUACUGGGAAGGCUGGAGUACCAGAAAGGUAACUUUGAUGCAGCUCUUCAGGUUUUCCAAGGAAUUGACAUCAGAGGCUUGAAGGCCAAAAUGAUCAGAGCUAUUAUUGGAAGAACUCAUCAGCCUCCAAGGAAGCCUCGAUCCAAAGGUGGUGAAAUCUCCUCACCAACAACUCUCAUGUCAAUGCACUCCGUCACUCUUCUUCUCGAAGCUCUCUUCCUCAAGGCAAAGUCACUCGAGCAAUUAGCACUUUUCACAGGUAUUCAUUAUUUACUUACUCUACUGUCUGCAUCAUAGUCUAAGAGAAACUUUAUAUGCUUUUUCGGUGGAUGUUUUUACCAUACCAGAGGAAGACUUAUUGUCAAAUCUUCAUAGUUUACGUAACUUCUUCUCCGAAGAAAUUACCAUAUCUAAACUCAAAUAGGAAUAGAUGAAGAACGAAAGAAGAGAUAGAGACAAGAGCGUUUGAGAGAAGAUAAUAAAAGGUGAAUUCAUAUCCGAUAUUUUGUUAGUAAUUAAUAUUUAAUAUUAAAAACAAUUAGAUCAUACUAAAUCAUAAUUGAACCAUCAAAUUUUCUAUCAUCCUCAACUUUCCGAUACAAUAACCAGUACGAUUUUGAAAACAUCGAAAAGAACCAACAACUUUGACAGGACAUUUGCCCAAAAAGCAAAGACAAUCAAUCUACAAGUUUCAGUAACCAAAUUGAAUGAAUGGAAGUAAAUGAUCUCAGGAAAAGAUUAAACUAGUUUAAAGGUUGAACCUUUAUAAAAAAAAAAAUGGUCAAAAGGAGUAGAGUCCAAUGCCCCAGCAUAUAUUCCCACCUCUCCUCCUCCUCUGACCUCUAGACCUCUGUGCCAAUGCAUCGUCCUGUCAAAAAAGAAACAACAUAAUAUAAUAUCAAUAAUUGUCACAGGCUACACUUCCACUGCACGUCGUGGCUAGUUAUAAAAUAAAAUAAAAUACUAAUUCCUCCAUUAGCCCCCCAUUUUGUCCCAAGCAAGCAACUUCCCACCCAGUCUGUGGAAGCUGUUAUUACAGUACAGAGAUCUCAAAACCCCCAUAUUAUUACUCUAUAGUCUCUACUACUGCUUUGGAUUCCUGCAUCCAUUUUUAAAAAAUAGAAACAGAGAUGAUCCACACCACUGCGGCCCAUCUCACGCUGUCGCUGAAAAUGCUGGCCAACUUAUUCAAAGCAAACAAACAAAUUUCUUCCAUUUUCACCUUCUGGGUUCUGGCCUCUUUGUACCCUCUCUCUCAGCAACUGACUACCAGACCCACGAGAUAGUAAGUGGGUAGCUAACCGCUGCACGCCAAACUGAUUUCCCCCCACGUCAUUAUCACUCUUUCUUCUUCUUCUUCUUCUCCAUCCCCAAAAUCUCACUCCCUCUCUCAAGAGAGCUUAGCAAGUUGCUUUCAUGGCUGCUUCCGGAAUGCUGACACCUCCUUCCCGUUUCUGCCUCCUUUGGUGAGUCCCAACGCUUGGAGAGGUUUCACUUAUUUCUCCGUCGCGUCCCUUUUACUACUCUGAGACCCUUUUGCUUUCUCUUUCACUCUUUCUGUUUUCUUUUUGUCUUCUCGGUUUCCUCAUCCUCC